rnacentral:tRNA from 1 species
GCUCGGGUGGUGGAACUGGUAGACACGCAGGACUUAAAAUCCUGUGCACCUAAAAUGCGUGCGGGUUCGAUUCCCGCCCCGAGUA